GCCGGGAUCCCCUGGCUCCUCAGGAGGGCUGGGAGUCCCGGGGGACGUCUCUGCAGCUCUGCAGAGCCAACAGAUGAGUGAAUUUGCCUGAGGUCACACAUUAGGAAAUGGUGGGGCCAGGAUUUGAGACCAGACCUUUAAGGAUUAACCACAUACGUGAGCCAUCCUCAUCCUGCCAAGCCAUGGUUUCGAGUCACUGAGAUGAACAGGGGCCAAGAACAAUGCAGAGGAUACAUUUUCUUAAUGACAGAGCUGUACAAAG